AUGGGACAUUUUCAAGCAUAAAUUCAUAAAAUGCCAGGCGUGUCAGCUCGAGAUAUAAGGAUGGGUACAGGUUGUCAAAGUUGUAUGUUGCAAAUGUAUCACCUUGGUUCCAUAUCACAUUAUGUAUUCUUCCCAAGACAUUUGUAGUUACUGUGGCGAAUUUAUCCAUCUCCUCUAAUAUUGCCAUGCACCAUUUGGCUAUUGUUUUUUCCAGCUUAUGUGGGUGCUGUUCUUUUCUCAACUAUCAGCCUCACUGUUAAUGGACUCUUGUGGAUCUUUAUGUAUUCAAAAAGUCUUUGGCACACUAGUGCUGUUACUCUGUCGUGCUCCCAUGCUUGUAGAAACAACUUAUGUCUCAUAAUUUUAUCUACUACUUUAACUAUUUUUAAUAUAGGGUCCACAGCUACUAGCUUUGAUUGGGUUUGAUCUAUAUAAAUAUCUAGGAAAGAAUCAUAAAAAUUUUUUCCAUUAGGAUCCUCUUGUCUUCCCUUGUUAUCAUAAGAUUGCUAUUGUUGAGCCAGGCUAUGAUUUUUCUAAGGGAAUAUGUGUCAUUUUCUUUAAGUUUCUCCCUUUUAUUAUGUUUUUUUGGUCAGUCUUUGGUUUAUGUAUGACUAUUUUGUUCUUUGUCUUUCUAGCUCAUCCAUAUUAUGCAACAUAUCUUCCACCACUGGUAUGUCAUCAAUUAUAUUACUUUUUAGCAGACAAGCACACGAGGGGCCUUUCCUAAAAAUCUGUUCUGCAUAUGGUAAUAAGUUGACAUCUCCCACUACAGUUAUUGCCUGGUUAAGCAAUAACUGUAGUGGGACUUGCACUCUUUUUUACCUAAUGGGAGUUGACAUUUAAAAAUCCAUUUGAUCUUAAUGUAUUUAUUUCUUUCUUAAUUUAUUUUUAAGGGUUCCUGUCUCAUUCUCAGUUUUGUCUAAAAAAUACCAGUCACAUCAAAGAAAAUCCUAAGAAACAUGAAGAAAAUGUCUAAAGGUAGUCAUCAUGGAUGCUAAAAAGAAAUAUUUUAGAACAUUGCAUGAAGUAAAGGGUUAUAAAAGCAAACUAGUACACCUUGCAAAUAUUACAAUAUUUUUAGAACACCUUGCAUAUGUUACCCUGUUUGUAGUAUAUUAU
rnacentral:lncRNA from 1 species